GAAUUCGCCCUUAGAGUUUGAUCCUGGCUCAGGACGAACGCUGGCGGCGUGCCUAACACAUGCAAGUCGAACGAGAAUUCCGAGACGGAGACCUUCGGGUCAAAGAUUCGGAAGGAAAGUGGCGGACGGGCGAGUAACGCGUGAAUAACCUGCCCAUAAGAGAGGGAUAAUCCAUGGAAACGUGGACUAAUACCUCAUAUAGAUAUAAUAUCGCAUGAUAAUAUAUUGAAAGAUUUAUCGCUUAUGGAUGGAUUCGCGUCAGAUUAGAUAGUUGGAGAGGUAACGGCUCACCAAGUCGACGAUCUGUAGCCGAACUGAGAGGUUGAUCGGCCGCAUUGGGACUGAGACACGGCCCAGACUCCUACGGGAGGCAGCAGUGGGGAAUAUUGCGCAAUGGGGGAAACCCUGACGCAGCAACGCCGCGUGCAGGAAGAAGGUUUUCGGAUUGUAAACUUCUGUCCUUGGUGACGAAGGAAGUGACGGUAGCCAAGGAGGAAGCCCCGGCUAACUACGUGCCAGCAGCCGCGGUAAUACGUAGGGGGCGAGCGUUGUCCGGAAUGACUGGGCGUAAAGGGCGUGUAGGCGGCUCUUUAAGUAUGAAGUGAAAACCCAGCUUUCAAGGUUGGGCCUGCUUUGUAGACUGAAGAGCUUGAGUGCGGAAGAGGUAAGUGGAAUUCCCAGUGUAGCGGUGAAAUGCGUAGAGAUUGGGAGGAACACCAGUGGCGAAGGCGACUUACUGGGCCGUAACUGACGCUGAGGCGCGAAAGCGUGGGGAGCGAACAGGAUUAGAUACCCUGGUAGUCCACGCUGUAAACGAUG
rnacentral:rRNA from 1 species